GCCCGGAUGGUCUAGAGGUAUGAUUCUCGCUUCGGGUUACUCUCGGGUCAUCACAAUGAUCUAAAUAUGCGAGAGGUCCCGCGUUCGAAUCGCGGUUCGGGCC